rnacentral:misc_RNA from 1 species
CCGAGUCACGUGCUCAAACAACCCUUCUGUGGACCUAAAUCAAACCGUUGCCUCGGCGGGCGGUCCCCUGUCAAAACCCACGUGGUGUGGGCAGGGGACCAGACAGUCCGGCACGCUUAAGGCGUCCGGCGCCAGCCGCUGGCCCUAAACAAUUAAACUCUAGUAACUUUACCUUCUGAGUUUUAAUGCAAAAAAAUAAGUCA